GAAAGCACUAACUGUAAGUCGCUCUGGAUAAGAGCAUCUGCUAAAUGACUAAAA
rfam:Salmo salar isolate Sally breed double haploid chromosome ssa04, whole genome shotgun sequence.